UUCUUCUUCUUCCUCCACCACUUCAUCUUCUUCCUUCUUCUUUCCUCCUUUGUUCCUACGCCUCUUCCUCUUUUUUCUUUUUUUCUUUCUCACCAAAGCAUUGGUACAUAUCGAUGUAUCAUGUGUCAAUACACCAGUAUUGAUCGGUAUGUACCGGUCUAACAGAUCGCUAAGACGGGUCCGGUAUUUGAAACAGCAAACCUUACUAAGAAUUACAUAGAUGAUGAAAGAUAGAACCCAAUUAUAAAUAAAGGAAGAUUUCAUGUUUGCAACCAAUUGUAGAUUUCAUGAAAUUAGAUAAUGUGGUCAUAUUGAAGUUAAAAAACCAAAAAAUGGAACACUAGCUAUGCCCGUCCUUUCACAAUGUACUGCAAGUAUCAGAAAAAUGACAAGAAAAGUUCUUGAUGUUUUCCACUAGCUAAUAGUAGGUAUGUCUAUUUCUUGCAAAUUGAUGAUUGAGAAAGUAUAGAAAUAGUGAUCUUGAAAUAAUUUCACGAUCUUUCUUCUUUUUCAAUGUUCCAUGUUGAAUUUUAUUUUUGGCCAAUUGUGCAAUUAAUUUAAGUCAUUGUUAUCAUAUGUCUCACCUUGCGUUCUUAUCAUGUUCUAUUGUGGAAUUAUACAUUGUGUUAAUAGAUAAAUAGAUAUUUCUUGUUUGUAGAUGAUUAUCACCUUCGCUAUGUAUGGGUAGAUGAUUUACAAGAAUUAGAUACUGUCUAUGUAACUUAGGAUCUUGAUUCUUAUUGUGAGUAAAUACCAAGAUCUAAUAUUUUGACAACAUAGUGUAUUUUGGUUAAUUGUUGGUGCAACAUGUGCUAGUAUAUUGUGCCAUAUAGGCUGUUGAGCAUCUGCAGUUGGUCUGGCUUAGAGCAAUGGCCUAACCAUAUGGGGAAACAAAGAGGGCAGAGAAAGUGGGGAAAGGUGGAAAAGUUGAUAUGUACUAUUGUUCAAUAUUACUCAAAGCAUAUCCAUAGUGAUGUUGGUGCAGCAUAGGUUGAUCAAAGGAUGGGUAGAUUUAGAUGUGAUCGAAUCACCCCUUGCUCAUUUUACCCCUUGCUUUUUUUCUCCCCCUUCAAUAAGCAAGCUACUACAAUGCACACCUGACCAAUUUUUGUCAGAUCAACCCUAAAUCUUUAAUAUCCGCUCUGACAUGAGAAACUCUUUUUGCCUAGUUAUACCAGGUUGGUGUGGUUGGCCAUCAUUAGCCUUGAUGUUCAUCAUACCUGUGUUGUAAUGAAUAUCACUUUGUUAACUUUUGUCAUGUUUGAUGCUGGUGUGUAGUGCACUAUCGCUCAGGAAUGUGAAUGAACUGUUGAUCAAGUUCAAGAAUGUGACAACUGGACUACAAUCCUCUGUUCAUUUAUAUCCCACUUGAUUAGUCAUUCUUUCUACUCAUCAGAGUCAAGUUCAUUGUUAGGUUCAUCAUCAAAUUUAUAAUAAUAUCUUCCAACCUUGGGAAUCCGAAAGUUGAUUCAGGAGAACUGUUUCUGACAUGGUUAGCUCUUGUGGAAUCUCGUCUAGCCAUGAGAUUUGAUGCAAUUCUUUAUAGAAAACCACUUGGAAAUCGACAGGCAACCAGUGUGACCAACUGACCAUAUGGUUUACAAGGCUAAAACUCAAAUAAACUUACAUUGGUAUUAACGUUAAUAUUUGUUGUAUCAUAGGAAUCAAAUCAGGAUCAAUUUUUUUUCUAGUUUGUUUUUGGAUAGUUGACAUGAUGCUCAUUGUGUUGGCAUGGAUUCUCUGAUAUGAGCUUGAUGUAGCUAGCUUAUAUCUGUGCUACCAUCAGCGACUGUUUGACCUCUAUUAGGGGUUGUUCAACUCCCAACAGCAGCCAGCCUGGCUUAAGGUUCAUGGGAUGAGGCAUGAGGCUGAUGACAAAGGCCAAAUUUAUGUUGAAAAAUGUGAGAUAAUUGGAUUUUGUAAUGGAUGAAACACUUCAAUUUAGGCCUCAAAAGGCACUCAACCAAGGGGGUUGAAGGCGUAGUGGACCUUGUGGAGUCUAGCGCUAAUUUGGCUCAGAUUGGUUUGUGUUGUGUGCGUGCGCACGCAGGGGUGCCUAGAUGUGCAUGUGCAUGGGUGUGUGUGCAGGUGCAUGUGUGUGUGCUUUAGUCAGUUGGGAUGACAGAACAUGCGCAGUUGCUUCUUUAGGCAGGCUGUAAAUUGGGUUGAAUGGAAUUGCCACACGCAUGGAGUUUUAGACAGCUUGGACAAAGGUACACGUGCACUUUCUGAGUGUAGGCAGGCUGUAAAUUGGGUUGAAUAGAAUUGCCGCUACUGUUGUUGGAUUUCUCUGAAUGAACAAGAAUGAUGCUGCUUUCUGGACAUUAUAGCCACUUGCAGUAUACUGAUUCAAAUUAGUAUACGAACUACUUGGAUGGAACAUAUGCAUUAUAGUAACCUCCUCAUGGUCACACCUUGUCCCUAAAGUGAUAGCCUCCAAUACCAUCAGAAUAAAUUCUAUUGCAACUCCCUGGUGCCCUCAUCUCAUGGGCCAUUACUUGAUCUAAGAAGUACCUUGGUAGGUUUUGCAGUUGUCUUACCAUAUUUUGUGCCAGGAUAUACUUGAAAUGAGUCACAAGUCCUCCAAUUGCCUUCAUGACCUGAUUUUAGUGUGUUGUAAAAAUACACCAAAAUUUGAUCCUGGAGCAGGGUGGCUUUCUGACGACUAUUCCACCUCUGUAAUAGAUAAAGGAAGUUCAUUAGUGUAAUAUGUCAACAAGUAGGCCUGUACAUGCAUAUUUUAGUGUGUAAUGUGCCUCACUCUUUUCCAUACUGUGAUCACAAAUCUAUGUGAUGUAUAUGCAUUUUCAGUCUCAAUCUAGCUUAUAUAUGCAAGAAUUCAGCCUAUAUCUAUGCCUAUUGUGGCCUGAUCUGCAUGGAUUUAGCCAACAUCUAUGUGGAUCUAGCCUAGGUCGGUAUUCAUCUUGGCCAUGUUAGUAUGGGUCUAGCCAAAAUUUAGGUGAAUGAAGUCUGGAUAUGCACCAAUCUUAGUCAGAACUGAUCUAGCCUAGAUUUGUGCUGACCUUGGUUGGCUCCAAUCUAACCUACACUGACCUUGGUCAAAUCCAUGCAUAUUAGCCUAGAUUUCUUGGAUUUAGGUCGGAUCUGUUUGGAUCUAGAAUAAACAUAUGCAUUUUAGCAUAGAUGUAGAGAAAUGAUGUAUAGAUCUAAGUUAAUAACCAUUACUCGAGGCAUAACAUCAUGAGCAAAAGCAUGAAUAGGCAUAAAAACGAGGCAUCAGUCAAGGCAUUUAAAAGUAAAACUAAGCAAAAAAUAGUUCCCUGUUUUAUCUUCAAAUUUACUUUGCUUUGGAGAAAAUGAUCUAGAUUUUUUUUUUUAGGUUGAAGCGUGGUUUGAGUAAGAAGAAGAUGAAGAGUGAGAGUCCAGAGUGAAGAAAAGAAUCUAAGAGGCUGAUCGAUGUUACCUUUAAUGCUAUCAUUUUUUAUCUUUAAUUCAUUUGAUGCAAUGUUUUGUUGUUCAUGUAAUUUGUUUGCUGGGUUGUGUAACAUACCCAAAUACGUUGCUAUCAUUUUUCUUUCUGAUGUCUUUGUUUAGAUACAUAAUGGAGCAGAGAGCAGGUAACUUUGGGAGCUGAUUUGGAGAAACUUCUUGGGUUAAAUGAUAAUACUUUUUGAGGAAGCAGUUCCUAUUGUCUUUUGGGCCUGGUAAGGCAUGUUUCUUGCCAGCAUAUUAGGUUAGCAUACCCUUGAUGGCUCUUUUUUAACCAAAAAGUUAAUGACUAAAUGAUAGAAAGGAAGCUGAAGCUUGAUGUAGAUAGCGGGAUUUGGAGGUCUGUGGAAUAAAAUGAUAGCUGCUAUUUUAGGAGAACUUUAAUUAAAGUUGACAUUUUUAAUCUGUAAAACAUGGGAAGCCUUCUUAAGCAACGGCUACUUAAUUAAGGUCUGAUAUGGUUAGGAACAAAUGGGCUCUGUUGGUAAGAAAAAUAGCUUAGGUUCAAGAGAACACUAAGGUAGGUUAGCCAGGUUUGCACCCUUGGUGAGUAUUGACCAUCCAAUUUGAAGCAAUGGCUGGUCAAGGAUUAUCAUACCUCUUGUGGUUGUUUAAUAAAGUUCAAAUAUCACCUUGCCCCAUUUAACUUGUUAGCUUUAGGGUUCCAUGACCAGCGAGUAGAUCACCCAGCAUAACUAUCAACAUUUUUUAUAUACUAGAUGAUGUUUAGCAACCAAUCACAUCUAAAUUGACUGUUAUUCUCUCUGAUUGAAGAAUUUUUUAUGUUUUGAUUAUUUUUAUUGUAUCCUAACUCAUGUUUGGAUCAUGUGUAUGUGUAUUUAUAUGCUUCAGCUAUUGAUCAAGUUUAAUGUAUUUUGGUAACUAGAAUUAUUAGGAUGUAAUAAGAGAGGACUUUUUUUUGGCUUACAUCAGAAAUGUUUUUGGAGGCUUACGUUUAGUUUGAGUUCAUAUAUUGGACAGUAGUUUCUAGGUUUGGUAGACCUUCUAGUUGGUCCAAAAUUAAUGAUCGAACCUAUCAGCUGCCAUAAUGCCCCCAUUUCAUGGUCAACACCAUGAUAUACUUCUUCAGUUUGUGAGCUUAAGGUCUUUAAGCUACCAUCUGGGAUUUCAAAUGUGUCAGUAGCCAAGACUUGUUUGGUUGCUGGUUGGAAUAUUCUGGAUGUAUUUCCUAUGUGCCAAUUUUAGUGAAAACUGAAAUUGCGGCAGGCAUGUUUUGGGAGCUUUAUUUUCAGGUUAUAUAAUCUUCCAGUUUUUCUAAACUGGCAAAAUUGCUCCUUUUGAAAUGUAGGUGUUCACCCUUCCCUGAUCUUGCUUUCACAGGAGCCUCAUGCAAUGGGUAUUUACUAUUUCCUUUUAGCAUGAUUUUAGAUGGGUAAACAAAAGCAAAUGAAGUAUAUACAGCAUGAUGUCCAAACUUCACAUUGAGUUUUUCUUUAUUUUAUUAAUUAAACAGAACACUCAUGUUAUUUAUGCUCAACUCUGACUGUGGCAUUUCAUAUUGAGUUCUAGAACUCAAGUUUUGCAACAUUAUAGCCUUUACUGCACUUGGAUGUUUAAAAGUUUGAUAUUUGUUGUAGGUUGUUUAAGCUUAAAAGUAAACGAAGUGCUGUAAAUUAUUUAGGAAUUCUUGUGACAUGAUAAACUAGUGAUUUUCCUUAGAAGAAGAAAAAGAAAGAAAACAGAAGAAACAAGUGAUGAUAUAUAUGGUUCCAAACAUUGUUCUUGCUGCUUCUGCAAAUAUAUUUCUCUGUUCAUUUUGGUUGCAGUGUUUUGUUGGUCAUCAUGAUUGCUUUUGCUGCCUUGUUUGACACUCUACUAAGUCCAUCAAAUAUUUGGUACUGAGCAUCACUUGGACAUCGAAAGUUCCUUCCUUUAUUUUCUUUGUUCCCUUUAGAUGCAUUGUGGAGCAGACAGCAGGUAGCUCUUGGGGGUAAUAUCUGAUUUGAAGAAACUUGGUUUUUUUUCUUUAUUGUUGAGGAAACAGCUGAAGUUUGAUUUAAAUUAUUUAUCUGGAGAUGGUUAUGGAAUUAGUUGAUUGCUAUUAUUUUACUAGAAUUUUUAAUCAAAGUCCUCCUUUUUGGGAAGCUAUCCUAUCAGAGACUGCCUGGUUUAGUAUAUGUAUUGAAUUCAGAUGGGAUUUUGGGACAGAGAGUCUUGAUCUGGUCAAGCUUGAUGCUAAUGUUUCUCUCCAACUCUAUACAACUGCUUUAAAGACUACAGAGUUGUCUCUUUUUCCACCUUCAUACUUUGACAAGAUCUCCUGAAGGAUGACUUCUUCAGGAAGGGAAAGCUGCUAAGAGGAAUGAUUCCACCCACCGUGGGGAAACCUGAAUUGGCAAGCAAAACCAGCAAGUCUUGUGGGUCGAUAGAGUGCUGAUAGAUUUGGGGCCAUGUGACCGCCAACACAACCUGUGCCACAAAAUGCUUCAUGCUCAUCUGAUCCAAAAUGCUUGCCUUGAAUUGUCUGGUAUGUCAUGUCUUACUACAUUCUAACCUCGAGAUCUUAUAUAUACCUAAUUGUAUUGUACAAAAAUUAAGAUAAAAAAAUAAGUUAAUUACACAUUAUCCUUAGCAUGUCGGUUUUUAUAUUUUUAAAAAUUAUAUUAAGAUUUUUUUAUAAUUAUUUUUUAUAAUUAUUUUUUAUAAUUAAUGAAAUAUUUAACAUCAUUUUUUUUUGUCAAUUUCUAAUAAAAAUAUCAUAGGAUUUAUUAUGGAGCAUGUGUUAGUAUAGUAUUUUCAUCAAAUAUUUUAUUUUUGUAAGUAAAGAGAUCCUAAUAUAAUUUUUUAAAAUAUAAAUAUUAAAAAUAAUUAAUUAUAAAAAAUAUAUAAUUAAAUCUAAGGGGAACUAACAAAAUUAUUUGAUAACCCUACCCUCUCUAAUUCCUAACACAUGUUCACCCUCAUUUUUAGAAAUGAUAUGUUUCUCUAGAACAGCUCUAACCUCAGCUAUGCUGCAAUGGUCGUUAUUGUUUGUCCUUAUCCAAGCAGACCAAAUUCCUGUAGCCAAAUCGUACGCACCCCCACAGUGAUCACGUCAUCCCAAGAUCUGUACCUAAAAGUGAUUGAUGGAUGGGGGGUUUAGUUGUUGCAUCAGCUGGGUGACAUGCAAGUUUCCUCUGUAAUCCAGUUUGGUGGGUGAUCCAAGUCGGCGCUCCAUCUGUCACUCUCUCUCCUCCACCAGAUCGAUCGAGGAGGUGGGCUGCAAUCUCUAAGCGAGGCUCGCCCGAUGGACACAGCCAUGAGAUGGGCACCCACCACCAUUUGGUGAUGAGAUUCGAGCUCAUUGGCACUUUUGGUGCAUGCAUGCUUGGAAGAAGAAGAUGUUGCGGCAGAGAACAGCUCAGCAGCUCAUCCUCGGUCACAUUCUCUCCACUUGUAAUGUUCUCCGCUCCCCAUACUGCCCAUGGAUUGAUACCAUAUGGUUUUUAAAUCUCUCCCCUCUUUUUCUUGUUUUUGUCGUUAAUCAUUGUCAUUCUUUGCUAAUACAUGGAAGGUUGUGCUUCAAAAAUCAUAAGAAGUAUAUCAUUAAUUAAUUUUCAUUGAUCAAAUGAUGCCAAAAAUAAAAAGAGAAAAUGGAGAUCACCUUGUAUUAUCUGCUCACGUAGACAAAGGUCUAAGACUAACUGUUAUAGACUAUCUUCUUUAUUACUCACGUGGAUAAGAGAUUAAUGGGAGAUUGUUGGAAGCGAUUAAAAGUUGUCUCCCCGUAAAAUAUUUUAUGAAAUAUUAUGUCUCUAUACAAUCAAGUAUAAAAGCUUAUCUUCAACAUAAUAAAAAUGGGAAGACUUUUUUUUACCACUAGCAUAUACACUUAUAUACCUCGGGUUACUAACUUGGGCGUCAUAGGGAUUGGUUAAAAAAUAUCUCAUAACUUCGAUCUUCGUGCAAGUGGCACAUCGAGAGCCGGAUGUUUUCACAUUGUAGGCACAUCAAACGACUCCACGUAUAUGAGUCCGGACCAUGUUAGGCUGAUCAUAAUGUCAACGAUUUUUUUCUUCAACAUUUUUAGAACUAGAAGGAGAUUCCGAUAUCGCAAGAACGAUCAUAUGUCGACCCUCUCAAUAAACACUUGAGUAAAGAAGUUUUGAUCAUAACUCAUAAUACUUUCAUCCAAAGCGGGCAACAGCACUCUUUUCGUACAUGGGUGCAUCUAUCUCGAUGCGGAUGUUUAUGCGAUACUAGCAUUUAUUCAACGACUUGGGUCACUCACCCCUAGAGAUAGCCCCGAGCCACCUGCUCAUUCUCGUUGAGGUGUUUUUAAAUCUUACUUAGCAAGUACAUAUGCUACAUGAUGGUGGUCUCCCUAUCGAAGAGGACCUAACUCGGGGUGCCUAUAGACCCCCAAGACUUCGUCAAGUCCAUCCCACGUCCUAAGUCGAUGGAGCCACUGAUUGAAGCACUCCUAGACAAGACCUAGUGCGUCGAAAAGCUUAAGCCGGUGACCCAACUAGAUCCUGGAAUAGGCUAGCGCCAAAUUGGGAAGAGUCAUAUCGAGUCAUCGUGGUUGUUCGAGACAUAACCUAUGACCUCAAGACAACGGAAUGGGUGAUGCCUCCAUGGAUAUGACACAUUGUAAACUUAAAAAUGUUCUACCCUUCAUGCAUCUCUUGGGGUUAAGUCGCGGUGACUAUGCUCCAAGUGUCAAACAUUGGUCUACCAUGUCUUUGGCGUCAAUUAUAAAAGAAAUAUAUUUUCAGGAUAUGUGUUGUAAGUUGAGGAAAGAAAGUUUCAUUACUUGAAAAGACUACACCAACUUAGUCAAGCCUCUAUAUCCAAAAUAAAACCUUGACUUACCAAGGUAGAGAUUGGUUGGGUGGACAAGUCCAAUGAUGCAAUAAGGAAAAAACACAAGGACUAAGUCGGGUGGGCAAACUCGCCGACUUAAUAAAGACCAACUCCUCAUAAGAUAAGACAAGGGUCAUCUCCUUCUAAAACCUCGCAACUUGCUUGAUGAGCUCAGAGUUGUAUGCCCUCAUUGAACCCAUCUCUUGGCAAUACAUUGCUCGGCCUAUUCUAGUUGUCUCGCUAGCUUGACUCCUCAAGCCUCUACCUCAGUGAUAAGUGCUAGGUCUCCCUUUUUCCUCUUCAGCUCCUUCACUUUAUUGUAGAGAUUGUUGAUCAUAAAGCACUACUAAUGAAUGAUGGAGCCAGAGUCCCUUAUAUAGUCAAGAAGGGUCAUGACGUAAUGAUGAUGCUAUAAGUCAAAAGACAAAAGAGCACUCUGGAAAGCGCAAAAGUUACUAUUGCACGAAGACUACCUCAUAAAGUGUAAAAGUGACAAAGUGCAAAGAUCACCUCAUAAAGUGUAUAAGUGACCAUGUGCAAAGACCAUCUCAAAAACUAUAAAAAAACUUGUCACUGGGAGAGGCAUAAGAUAAAAUGUACUCGGGAUGCAUGAAUCAGGAAAACUUGAUCUACAUAAAAGGAAAUCCGUCAUAAAUGGAGGCAUAAGAUAAAAUAUGUCCAAGGCACAUUAGUCAGAAAAAACUAACUCACGUAAUAAGAAACCCGCCAGGGUGAGAGGCUUAAGAUAGAAUGUGCCCAAGGUAUGUAGUCGAGAAAAUCUAACUUGCGUAAUAAGAAACCUGCCAUAGUAGGUAGCACAAGACAAAAUAUGCCCAAGGUACAUGAAUUAAGAAAACUUGAUGUACAUGAAUUGAGAAAACUCAUCACGUUGGGAGGCACAAGAUAAAAUAUGCCCGAGACAUGUGAGUUGCAUAAACGCAACCAACGUAAUGAGAAACUAUCAUGGCUAAAGGCACAAAAUAAAAUGUGCUCGAAUCGCACAAGUUGAUAAAACAUGACCCUAGUAAGAAGAAACUUACCAUAGCGGGAGGCACAAGGUGAGAUGUGUUCAAGGCAUAUGAGUCAGGAAAACCUGGCCCGCAUGAGAGUAAGUUCACCAUGAUAGAAGACACAAGGGAAUGAAUACCUGAAGUAGGGAGGUGGAGCAUCGACCCCUCCUUUACUCGAGGUGAGUAGGUCACUGCUUAACAUAGUCUACCAUCUUGGAGCCCCAUAAAUUGAAGAGGUUGAGAGAGAGAUCCGAACACCUUGGGCAGAAAAAUAGAGCUUCCACAUAAUAACAAAAGAGAUGUGAACCCUUUGCCUUCGCCGAGGUGGGGAGGUCAAGAUGCCUAACCCUCGCCUUCGCUUGAGGUGUGGAGGUCGGGAAGCCCGACCCCCUCAUUUGCUCGAGUCAUGGAGGUCCGACCCCCACUUUUGCACGAGGCAUGGAAGUUGGGAAGCUCGACCCGUACCUCCUUUGGAGGUGAUGAGGUUAGAAAGCCCAUCCCCUGCCUCCAUCCAAGGCGAUGAGAUCAUAAAAUCUAAUCAGAUCAGGAAGAAAUGGGAAGAUUGGGGAACCCGACCCUAUCUAACCCAGGUGCAUUCAUCGACGAUACGAGUGAUAGGUCAAUGAUAGAUCACCACUAGCAACGCUUGAGCAUGAUGAGGUAGACAUGUCAGAUGAACUAGAUGUGCCACUUGAUCGAUGAUGGAUUAAAGAAGUAUAAGCUUGGCGUGUCAAAUGAACCAAAUGCCGCACUUUGAACCCUUUUCGCAAUAGCCCCAAAUCACGCCUUGGGAAGAGGACAAAUGAUAAGGAGUAUACCAUCGAUCAAUCUUCAUCCAACACGUGACCAUGUGGGCAAGGUGAAAGGAGAAGACGAAAGUCAUCUUUCAUCAGUUUGCCCAUGUGGGCAAACGUCCAAGGCAAACGAUUAUAGUUACCCGCACCCCGCACGUCGACGCCACCCUCCCUCCCUUAUUGCCCACGUAAAAAAGAGGCCAACAUAGAAUAUUUUAUGAAAUAUUCUGCUCCUUUAGACCAGGUAUAAAAGCUUAUCUUCAGCACAAUGAAAAGGGGAUGAUCUUUUUUUUACCACUAGCGUUCGCACUCAUAUGUCUCGAGUUACUAAUUUGGGCAUAAAAAAAAAUCUCUCAUGAUCUCAAUUUUUUUAUAUGUGACACAUCAAACAACUCUACGUAUAUUAGUCCAGACCAUAUCAAGUUAAUCAAAACGUCAACGACUUCUUCCCUCAACAAAAAAAAAUUACUAGAAACAAUAAAAACUAUAUAAACAAUAAUAAAAUCUUAUUAGGAGUAUCUUAAUGAUAAAAUAAUAAUAAAUAUUAAACCCCAAAGAGUACGAACAUCUUGAAUAGAUUAAUUAUGUAAUAAUAUAAUAUCACAAAUAUGAGAUCUAUUAAUUAUAUAACAAAUACCACAUUACAUCGAACAAAUUAUUAUUAUUGUUAUGGUAAUAAUAAGAUUUAUAAAAUUAUAUGAUGAAAAAUAAAGUUAAUUGAAAUUGACAUGAGAUACUGUCAAGAAAAAUAAAAGAUUAAUUUCAGUAAUUUUUUUAAUGAUGCUGCCUGAAUAAUUAUCCAAAAUGUUGUGAAUUUUGUAUCCAUGUGUUUACACGAGGAUACAUUUAACAAACGUCAUGGACUUUUUUGUAAAAAUAACGAAUAACACACGUAUCAAAGGAGGGCGAGAGAGGGAAAACUACUCGGUGGAGGAGGGCAUGCCGGUCUUUUCGACCCAACAUAGGCGCCCAAUGGCAGAGCAGUGGACCCCGACGCGCGCGCAGGCCCACCAGUUGCCCGGACUCCAAAGCAACCAGUCGAAUCUGGUCGAACCGCUCGUCCGUCCCACUCUGCCCUGCCCGAGCCAAAUAAAUGGCCGCGUCCCCUCGUUGCCUCCUCCGCCCAAGGGAAAGCGAAACCUCCCCUCUUUCUUCCGCUUCCUCUCGCUCCUCCGACAAAUCUUUAGGGCUUCUGCUCCAGAUCGAGACGGAAAGAAAGGGAGAGGGAGAAUAGAAGAUGAGGGAGAUCAUAAGCAUCCAUAUCGGUCAGGCCGGGAUCCAGGUGGGGAAUGCCUGCUGGGAGCUCUACUGCCUCGAGCACGGCAUCCAGCCUGAUGGCAUCAUGCCCAGGUCUUUGUAAUCUUCCCCGCUUUCAAUAUUGCGCAUCCGUCUUUUCUUGUCGUUGUUAUGCCGUUUCUUUAGAUCCGGUUGUGUUCUUCGUGUCAUUAAUUCGUCGCCUUCGUGGGGGUGGUUUUAGGCUGAUUUUGGCCCUUGGAAUGUCGAGAUCCAGGGGGUUUUCCUUCGAGAUAAAGACAAUGAUCAUCUGUAUAUCCAAGAUCUCCUAUUCGAAAUCAGCCCUGAUUUAUAUCUGUAACCUGGCAAUAUCUCGUAAUGAACUUGAAACUUGAUAUCAGAUCUGAUUUAUGCUAUUCUUUAGAAAAAGGUAACGUGGAAAGUUCAUGUCAAAGAUCGCACCUUUAUGGUUUUCUCCCUUAAAUGAGUUAUGCCCUCAUUCAUUUAGCAAAUCAUGGCUUGCAUGUUUCACUGGUGUGACAUUCCUGAUCGCGUCUUUGAGGAAUUGUCGCGAAGGAGACUACUUUUUGUUGCUCUGAUGAACAAUUUGUGUGAUUAUUGGCUGACGCAUCUCUUGUCUCCAUCAGUGAUACUUCGGUAGGGGUGGCAUCCGAUGCCUUCAAUACCUUCUUCAGCGAGACUGGUGCUGGCAAGCAUGUACCAAGGGCCAUCUUUGUAGAUCUGGAACCGACUGUCAUCGACGAAGUCAGAACCGGUGCGUAUCGCCAACUCUUCCAUCCCGAGCAGCUCAUCUCUGGGAAGGAGGAUGCCGCAAAUAACUUUGCUCGGGGCCACUAUACAGGUAUCGAUAUUGUUCUUCGUUUGCUAUGUUCACCUCUUCUUUCUUUUGAAUAGUCCCUUUUUCCUACCUUGGAUUUGACCCUGUAUGGUCUUGUGAGCUGCUGCAGUUGGGAAGGAAAUUGUAGAUCUCUGUCUCGAUCGUGUCAGAAAACUAGCGGACAAUUGUACUGGCUUGCAAGGGUUUUUGGUUUUCAAUGCUGUUGGUGGUGGUACUGGAUCCGGUUUGGGUUCCUUGCUUUUGGAACGAUUGUCUGUGGAUUAUGGGAAGAAGUCGAAGCUUGGUUUUACGAUAUACCCUUCUCCUCAGGUAUUAAGAAGUUGUGCAAAGGCUUUGAUACUUUCAGUUUGAUGGUGACUGUCUGAUAGAUCCUCUUUUCUGGAAAGUAGGUCUAUGUUAUUGAUUCUGAUUCGUUUUCAUUAUUAUUCUGAUGCUUUGAGACUUUGAAGUGAAGGCUUACUGUUAGUAUAUAAACUUUUAUCUGAUCUAGCUGAACCCAAAAAUCCUAUUAUCAGAAGAGUAUUGUUAGCAAUCAGAUAACAUCUCCAUUUCAUGGUGGAAUCAUCUAUGAAUCGAUCAAUUUUCCUGUAAAGCACCUGAAAUUAGGUUGGAACUAGUGCAUUCUGGUGUAAAUGGCUCCAAUUGCGCAAUGUGUGCUUCUAUGUAUGGAGUAUGGAGCAUCAUAAUAAAUCAAAUUAUUUUAAUGAAUUCAUAAUAGAAAAUGAAAUUAAGUCCCAAUUUGUUCCUGAAGUUUGUCACAAAGCUGACUAGGAUUUUAUCUUACAUUUUCUGUGGCCAUAGAGUCUGAUCAAGAACACAAGAACAAUAUAAGAACUUCCCAGAAUCUACAUAAAAUCCUUAACCAGCAAUGUACUUUCAGUGAUGAACCUUGAGAAGAAUAUGGAUACAGUAUCCUUGUAUAAUGAUACAUUCUUAUGAGCAAUGGUAGGUAGGUAAGUUGGUGUUUAGUUGCUAUCCUUGUUUGGUGCUUCUAUAUUGUGUAGUUGGUACUAGUGGCCCAGUUGGCGGAUGCUUGUGAAAAUAUUGAUUCUGUCUUUUCUUUUCUGUGAAAGAUGGUUAAUCCUAUGGUAUUUUGUUGUAGGUAUCUACUGCAGUUGUGGAACCAUACAACAGCGUCCUCUCCACACAUUCCUUGCUCGAGCACACUGAUGUUGCAGUUCUUUUAGACAAUGAAGCCAUCUACGAUAUCUGCAGAAGGUCUCUGGAUAUCGAGCGGCCAACCUACACCAACUUGAACCGGCUGAUAUCUCAGAUCAUAUCCUCCUUGACUACCUCUCUGAGGUUUGAUGGGGCCAUUAAUGUGGAUGUCACAGAGUUCCAGACCAAUCUUGUUCCGUAUCCCAGAAUUCAUUUCAUGCUGUCCUCCUAUGCCCCCGUUAUUUCUGCUGAGAAAGCAUACCAUGAACAGCUCUCUGUCCCUGAGAUCACAAAUGCAGUAUUCGAGCCAUCCAGUAUGAUGGCCAAAUGCGAUCCAAGGCAUGGAAAAUACAUGGCUUGUUGUCUGAUGUACCGAGGAGAUGUUGUGCCUAAGGAUGUCAAUGCCGCUGUUGCAACCAUCAAGACCAAGAGAACUGUGCAAUUUGUGGACUGGUAAGCUUAUACCAACAUCACCACUUAUUGCAUCAUAUGUUAUUUUGGGUUGGAAUUGACUGCUUCAUCCUAAUCCAUGAAGGUGUCCUACUGGAUUUAAGUGUGGAAUCAACUAUCAGCCACCAACAGUGGUUCCUGGAGGAGAUUUGGCUAAGGUUCAGCGUGCCGUGUGCAUGAUCAGCAACAACACUGCUGUGGCCGAGGUGUUCUCACGAAUCGACCAUAAGUUUGACCUCAUGUAUGCAAAGCGUGCGUUCGUUCACUGGUACGUCGGUGAAGGGAUGGAAGAAGGUGAGUUCUCAGAGGCACGAGAGGACCUGGCUGCCCUGGAAAAGGACUACGAGGAGGUCGGAGCAGAGGGUGCAGAUGAUGAAGAGGAUGAGCCAGAGGAUUACUGAGUCAUGUUUGCAUUGUGAGAAUUUGGUCUGAGUUGGAUGUGCAAUAUCUCAAGCUUGUGAUUAGCGUCGUGCCCUCGUUCGAUAUGUUCUCGACUUCUGGUUGUUUUUAAACACAUGUCGGGUUUAUUAAAAUUGUUCCAGUUAUUUCAGGUUAUGCAAAUGUGUAUUUGAGUGUAGUUGCUUCAUUAAGGAUUCAAGUUUCCGCACAUCCGCAUACCGCACAUCCAAUGAGAAUAGAUCUGAUCAGUUAUUAAACUAAUGAGUUACAGUCGAUAUGAUAUCUAAAGGUUUGUUGGCUCCAUGAAAAAUUCACGAUUUGUCAUAGGGCAAAGACCUAAUAUGAUAUAUCAGCAUAUACAACUUGGUCGAUCAAUUAGCUCAGUAGUUGAUGGGGGAAAAUAUCGGUGAUGCUUAUAUCAACUAAUCAUAUCGGUGGUUGAUGGGAAAAAACAUCGGUGAUGCUCUGAUUCGAUUCAGGCCUAUAUAUGGAAAAAGAUUUUGAGCACUCACUAUUAUUGUUUCUACUAACUCUUCUUUUUCUUAGGUCUUCUAAAAUUAAAAUUGGACAAGAUUCGAAGUUAGGUUUAACUUUUUCUUCCUCUUACUAUUUCGACUUUAUAUGGUUUAGACAAUUCAAAAUAAAUCUUAAAUAAUCUAAUUAGUGAAUAUAUAUACAUAUAUAAAUAUAUAUACUAUAAAAGAUGCUCUUCUACAUCCCUCCAAAAGCCCAACCAAUCCUUAAUCUCCUCUUCCUUUCCUAAUACUUCAAACAAUAGCAACGUCAACGUCAAAGGAGAUGAUGUACAGUGCCAUUUUAGCUUCCUCUUGUCAUCUUUUGCUUACUAGUUUUGUCACCGCAUCGUGUCUGAUUCUAAUGUUAUUCAUUCAUAAAUCAUAUAUAUACACAUUUUUAAAAUACGGAAGAUGAUAAAAAAAAUAUUGAUAUAUCUUUUUUUUUUAAAGAAAGAACUUAAAAAAAAACAUAAAAAUUUAUUGUUUCAAAUAAAAGUAAAAAAAAAUAUAUUCGAACGACUCUUUCUAUCAAAAAAUACACAGUUCGGGCCGUGUCAAUUAAACUCACUUAAUUAACAGUUACAGCCCAUCUCACCCACGUCUUAAUCCGCCCCCUCCAUCUCUUUCUCUCAUCUCCAAAACCCUAACCAUAAAAGGGGUCGACAAACCCCCAAAUCCACGAGCCAGAGAGAGCGAGAGUGCGAGCGAGUGCCCGCCCGACUUCCCCGAUCUCUCUCGACUCCAAAACAUCAUCUUUCUUCUUCUCCGCCUUCGUCUUCUUCCACCGGUACAAGCAUGGAUCAACAGCAGCAGAUUGCCGCAAUUCUCGGGGCGGCGGAAUCGGGGCCCUUCGAGUCGCUCAUAGGCCAGUUGAUGUCGGCCUCCAACGAGCAGCGCACCCACGCGGAGUCCCUCUUCAACCUCUGCCGCGACCACCACCCCGACGCCCUCGCCCUCAAGCUUGUCUCCGUCCUCCACUCCUCCCCCUCCCCCGACCUCCGAGCCAUGUCCGCUGUCCUCCUCCGCAAGCUCCUCACCCACCGCGGCAGCGGCGACGCCGACUCCCCCCUCUGGCCCCGUCUCUCCCCAUCCUCCCACUCCUCCCUCAAGUCCCACCUCCUCUCCGUCCUCCACCGCGAGCCCGACCGCUCCAUCGCCAAGAAGGUCGCCGACACCAUCUCCGCCCUCGCCGUCUUUCUCCUCCCCGAUGCCGACUGGCCCGACCUGCUCCCCUUCCUCUUUCACGCCGUGUCCUCCCCCGAGUCCACCACCCGCCUCCAGGAGUCUGCCCUUCUCGUCUUCGCCCAGAUCGCCUACGUCCUCGCCGACGAUGCCUCGUUCAUCGGCCCCCACCUCCCCACCCUCCACUCUCUCCUUCUUGCCGCCUUAUCCCACCCUUCGUCCCCCGAUGUCCGUGUUGCCGCCCUCUCUGCAGCUGUCAACCUCGUUACCUCCCUCGAGUCUGCCGCCGAUCGCAACCGUCUCGCGGAUCUCCUACCCGCCAUGAUGCGCACGCUCACCGAGUCCCUCAACUCCGGGCAGGAGGCCGCCGCUCAGGAAGCCCUUGAGCUCCUUGUGGAGCUUGCCGGAGCCGAGCCACGGUUCCUCCGCCGCCAGCUUGCUGAUGUCGUUGGUGCCAUGCUGCAGAUCGCUGAGGCCGAUGGGCUUGAGGAAGGCACGCGCCACCUGGCGAUUGAAUUUGUUAUCACCCUUGCGGAGGCCAGGGAGCGUGCUCCCGGGAUGAUGCGGAAGCUCCCCCAGUUCGUCAGCAGGCUCUUUGCUGUGCUCAUGAAGAUGCUGCUAGAUAUUGAGGAUGAACCUGCCUGGCACACUGCCGAGGUUCAGGAUGAGGAUGCAGGGGAGACUAGUAACUAUGGCAUGGCCCAGGAGUGCCUCGACCGUCUUGCCAUUGCUGUUGGUGGAAACACAAUUGUUCCAGUUGCAUCUGAGCUGCUACCAGCCUACCUGGCCGCUCCUGAGUGGCAGAAACACCAUGCAGCUCUCAUCACUCUUGCUCAGAUCGCUGAAGGCUGCUCAAAAGUACUCUGAUCUUUAACUACUUUAUCAUCGAUUUGACAAAAAGAUAGGAUUUGUUGUCAUCAUAAUUGGAGUUUCUUUAAGAUGGUGUAAGUGUAGUAUUACUAGCAUAAAUGUUGUUUAUUAUAUUCUGUUUGCAUUCUCUUCACGUACAGGUGAUGUUAAAAAACCUGGAGCAGGUGGUGACUAUGGUCCUAAGCUCAUUUCAAGAUCCCCAUCCUCGAGUUCGCUGGGCGGCAAUUAAUGCUGUUGGACAGUUGUCAACGGAUUUGGGGCCGGAUUUGCAAGUUCAGUAUCACCAGAGUGUGCUCCCAGCAUUGGCAUCAGCAAUGGAUGAUUUCCAGAAUCCCCGUGUGCAGGCAAGUGGUCUAGAGAGGAUUAAUAGUUGUUAUUUAUGAUUUUGUGUUGUCUAACUACAGAUAUAGAUGGACUAAUCCAAAUCACUCUUUUUAGUUAAGAAGGUGUUGUCUGUUGUAGAAACGAUGAAGAAUUUGUAGAUUCCAUGAUAAGUUCUUAUGAUAUUUGUCAUAUUGUUUUGCAGCUGACCUUUGGAUGAGUUUUAUUAAUUCAAGAUAAUUCCAACUGAUUCCUUUCAACAAGACUGAUGAAUUCAAUUUGUGAACUUAGCUUUGCCAUCUUAUGUAAACUGAUUAUUCUUGUCUGAACUAACAACAUACCUUUUAUACUUUUAUUGGACAAUUGAUUAUAGCUAAGGGCCAUUGUAAGGCUUACAUCAGCUUGUGAGUGCCCCAAAGCAUCCAGUUAGACACAAGGAUGAUCACUAUUUGAAUAAGAAAAGUAACAGAGUGCAACGAGUCCUGAGUGAUGAUCACGUAGCUUAUGGAACAACAUGGUUUUUUGUGUAUCCUUGAAACUCUAUUUGGUUUGCAAAAAUCAGCUUAAUAUGAGGAUUUUCUAUGUGGUUCUGUUUAACUCCUGAUAUCUGGUUUAUGUUUUGCCUGCAUGGUUUUAUUUGUUAGUUCUUUUGACCAUCUUUAAAUUUGGUUAAUCAAUUAGAUGCAUAGCAGAAUAGAUGUUACAUGAUAGAGAUUAUUAUGACAUUAAUCUAAAAGGUGUCCUGUGCCUCUCAUUGGUUGAAUAUAGUGAGUGGAAAAUCCUAGUUAAGAAUUUUUUGUUUGUCUUCUCUUUUUUAUUUUUUGUUUGGACUAUAAAUCCUGUAGAAAUGGACAAUGUCUUACUUAAAUUGCCAGAUAAUUUCAAGGGAAGUAAGAUGUUGUAACUGUGAUAGGUUGAGAAGUUGGCUCAUUCCUUUUCUUUUACACUUAAGCAAUUUUUCAUGUGUUUUGUCUCCUUAAAUUUGUCAUUCAUUGUGUGUUUCUUUAUAUGUAAUGUACAUGCUUCUUGAAAAUAUACUUGAAUUCAAAAUAUCCUGGGUCAUCCUUUCUCAAAUGGUAUUGAUUGAUUCCUCAGGCACAUGCAGCUUCGGCAGUUUUGAAUUUCUGCGAGAACUGCACUCCUGAUAUCUUGACACCUUACCUAGAUGGGAUUGUUGGCAAGUUACUUGUGUUGUUGCAGGUAUAGCUUCAAAAUUUGCAUUGAUCUAGUAAACUAUCAAUAUGUCCUUGCUCAGCUUUGGGGUUAGAACUUAAAGAUAAUCAUGAAAUUUGUAAUUGUUUUAUUCAGAAUGGGAAGCAGAUGGUUCAAGAAGGAGCUUUAACAGCUUUGGCUUCGGUGGCAGAUUCAUCACAAGUACUUGUUUAAAACCAUCUUUGUUAAACUGUUUGUCAAAUGUGCUAUUGACCAGAGAGUUUCUGACAAAAAAUUGAACUGCAGGAACAUUUCCAGAAGUAUUAUGAUGCUGUUAUGCCAUAUCUCAAGGUUAUUUUAAUGAAUGCUACUAACAAGUCAAAUCGGAUGCUUCGUGCGAAAUCGAUGGAGUGCAUAAGUUUGGUUGGAAUGGCAGUGGGCAAGGAUAAGUUCAGGGAUGAUGCUAAACAGGUGCAAUCACUUUUUCAAAAUUUUUUGAUGUAUCACCUGUGGUACAUAUUUGAGAAGUCUCUUAUGUAAAUAAAGGCAGAGGAUUAUACAGAUUGCUCUUUUAUGUUAUCUUCUAUUUGUUGAGUUGUUUACAUGCUACUAUUUUAUGUGAGCUUCAGAUUCACAGUCCAACAAUUUGUUUUCUUUUUGAUAUAUCUUACUGGUACUUCAAGUUUAUUAAGUUCUCUAGUUUUAAAUUUUACAUGAAUCUUGUUCAUGGUUGUUGUAGCAUGUUAAAAAUGAGAUUCUGUUUUUAUUUUUAAAAUUUUGAUGUAAUUUAAGAUAUUAGACCUUCUUGUGUUGAGUAUGGUGACAGAAUGAGGUCUUUAGCCUUUAAUAAUGCCUUUAGCUGAAAUUACAGCAUGAACUUUGAGAGUUAUGGUAUUAACUAGUAGGUACAGGUUUCUGUUUAAGUACUGGGAGUUCCAAGUAGUUUGUUGCUUUUUGAAACCUCAUUAGUACCGACGAGUGACUAAUUAUUAGGCUGUCAAUAACAACUUCUUGAGCUUCGUCUUUUUUCUUUGAAGAGUUAGUCUUUGUAUUUUUGGGAAGUUCAUGAAGAGUGUGGUUGUCUCUCUGUAGUUUGUACUGAACUAUUUUUGCUUAUGAUGUUAUUGUUUAUUAGGCUUAACAGUCAUAAUUUUACUGUUAUCAUGUGCCAGGUUAUGGAGGUUCUUAUGGCAUUACAAGGAUCACAGAUGGAGACAGAUGACCCUACUAUAAGCUACAUGCUUCAGGUGUAUUUUAGCUCCCAUGGCUUAAUAUGCAAGACCAAUGAUAUUUCCAAUGUAAUCAUAAUAUGCAAGACAAAUGAUGUUUCCAAUGUAAUCAUUCUUGUUCUUUAAUAGGCCUGGGCCAGGUUAUGCAAGUGCUUAGGACAGGAUUUUCUGCCAUACAUGAGUGUUGUUAUGCCUCCAUUGCUUCAGUCUGCUCAGCUGAAACCAGAUGUGACUAUUACUUCAGCAGAUUCUGAUGAUGAUAUAGAAGAUUCAGAUGAUGAAAGGUUUGUUUCUUGGUGCAAAAUAUAAAAAGAAAACAAAUCAUAUUUGUUUCUGCUUGUUCAUUGAGCUGGUCUGGUCAAAAUGUUGACUGUAAUAUUUAAGAUUGUCAUUAACAUAUGCUAUGAUGUUUCUUACUUCUGGAUUUGUAUUCAGUGUUGAAACCAUCACUCUUGGAGAUAAAAGGAUAGGUAUUCGGACUAGUGUCUUGGAGGAGAAAGCCACAGCCUGUAACAUGCUUUGUUGCUAUGCUGAUGAGCUAAAGGAAGGCUUUUAUCCAUGGAUCGAUCAGGUUGGUUAUGACCAUUGCCAUACUUUUUGAUAAUGGAAUUGACUUGCCUCUAGGGGAACUAAUGCUAUAUAAUGCAAACUAAAUUCAGGUGGCUCCUACAUUGGUACCUCUUCUUAAAUUUUAUUUCCAUGAAGAAGUGAGGAAGGCUGCUGUUGCAGGUAUCUAUUUUUUUUUCUUCAUCUUUUUAUAACAUUCUGCUUAUUGAUGGUUUGGUUUAUUUCUGCUUAUCCAUAGCCAUGCCGGAACUACUUCGAUCGGCAAAACUAGCAGUUGAAAAGGGGCAAGCUCAAGGCCGUGAUGAAUCAUAUGUUAAGCAGUUAGCAGAUUAUAUAAUUCCUGCUCUAGUUGAAGCAUUGCAAAAGGUUAUUCAUGCUAUCUGAUGGAAUGAUGUUAUUUGUCUUAUGACAUGUGAGGUUAUUGAUCUAUCGGCAUCAUCUUUUUGCAGGAACCAGAAACAGAAAUCUGUGCAAGCAUGCUGGAUUCACUUAAUGAGUGCAUGCAGGUAUAUCCUUGUCUUAAAGUUGGUUUAUUGUAAUUUCCUUUUAGAAGGAACACUAGGCCCAGAAGGUGAUCCACAUAUGGAAGUAAGUUAAACGAACCAUUCAGACACACUUAGUCACACAAAGCCCAUAAGAGCCAAUAAUAAGGAAGAAAACACUGCAUGAGUAUGCCCAGCUUGCAUGCAUGGGGAUCAAACCUCGACCUUUCAUGAGGAAAAUAAAUGUUUUACCAUCCAAGACAAGGGACCAUGCAGUUUUUUUUGGUAUCCUAGAUUAUGAUAAUUUAUCAUCUCCUUGUGUUGCUACAGAUAAAAAUGUAAACCAGUCCUAAUUGUUGGUUGCAACUUCUAUGUUUGUUUUUUGCAGCUUGCUGGGUUGCUUCUUAGUGAAAACCAGGUCAGAAGCAUAGUUGACCAAAUAAAACAUGUGAUAACAGCUAGUGCGGCUAGGAAAAAGGAAAGGGCAGAACGAACAAAGGCAGAAGACUUUGAUGCAGAGGAAGAGGAAAUGCUUAAGGAGGAAAAUGAGGAGGAGGAAGAAGUGUUUGAUCAGGUUAAUAAUGAAUUGAUACAGAAUUAUACUGGAUUUUUGUAAAAUUGUUUUGUUUUAAAUGUGUUUUAAUGCAACAGUAGUUACUUUGUGAAAUCAAAUCUUGCCCUUUUUUUAUCGCCCUGGUUAUUGCAUUUCAGGUUGGGGAUUGCCUAGGCACUUUGAUUAAGACCUUCAAGGCUUCUUUCAAUCCAUUCUUUGAUGAGCUAUCUUUAUACAUAACUCCGAUGCUGGUAAACUCUCCAAAGCUUUCUGUAUGUUCAGCAUAUUGUAUAAGAUGUUUGGAUAUUGCAUACCUUUAGUCAUCUACUGUAUUUUAUGGAACUUCUGGAUACCUAUGUUCUUCAGCUAUGUUAACAUUUUUUUGUUGAUGUUAAAGGCUUUUGAAUAACAUUUUAGUAUUAUAAGCAUGGCAUCCAGAAGUUAUGCAAAGUAGAUUUCAAUUGGACUUGGUUUGGCACAGUUAUGUAGUUCUGCCUACUCAGCAGUUGCGACAAUCAGCAGAUAAUGAAAACACAAUGAAGCAUGUAAAAGAUUUAAAAAAGAACUAACAAUACAACAAAUAAUAAGAUGAAGAGGAAGAGAAUCAGGGUCUAUGUCCUGCAUCUUUUUCUUUUUUGAAGGACUUCGUAGUCUGUGCUUGUCUCAGACAAAUGCUCCUCUAACAAUGUGGCUUCCCUUGUACAUCAAAUCCUAAACUAUCAUAAGAGUGACAAUGUAGUAACUUAAAUGUUUCUUUGAUGUUGGAAUCUUAAAAUGGACUGUUAUUAGUGAUUAGAAAUUAAGUCAUCAAUCCAUAGAUUGUGGAAUCCACAAAUGAGCUAAUUCACUCCCAAGUAUGUAUGAUUUUUUUUCUUCAUAUAGUGUGCAAUUUGAGGAAGUGGAUUCACAAAUUAGACACUUCCAAUUUUCUUAUUUGUUUAAUUUUUAUGCAACUUUCAACCUAGGUCUCCUACUUUUUGACCCCCAUGUUUGGAUGACUGUUAACAAAUAUUCACAAUUGCAUUAUUAUAUUUUUCAUAGUUUCAUGCUAAUGGAACAUGGCUAGUAUUUUAUCCAUGCAUAUUGGAGUUCAUCUGGAAUUACAUUUAGAAGCUUUCAUAUAUCUAGUAUUUUAUCCAUGCAUGUCAGAGUUGCUCGCCUGGAAUUGUAUUUAAAAGCUUUCUUGCUAUAGUUACCAAGCUCUUUUUGCUCUGUCUUAUGAUCUUGUUGUGAUAUGAAUUGAAAAUAGUAUAUUAUGCUUUUUAAUAGUUAAAUUCAUCUUCAUGAAACUUUCUCUAUGGCAUGGUUAUGCAUUGUCUUUUGCAUACAGGGCAAGGAUAAAACAGCUGAGGAGAGGAGGAUUGCCAUUUGCAUUUUUGAUGAUGUCGCAGAACAAUGCCAGGAAGCAGCUCUGAAGUAUUUUUCUUUUCAAUCAGUGGAUUAUUUUAGUAAUUGUGCUUAGUAUCUGUGUGUUCAUAUCAUCUGUUUCUUUUUGACAGGUAUUAUGACACCUAUCUUCCUUUCCUAUUAGAAGCAUGCAAUGAUGAGAAUGCAGAUGUUAGGCAGGUUUGGGUUCAUUCUUCCCUUUGAUCCAUCUUAUAUACCUAGUGUGUACUUUUUGUUUAACUGGGAUACAUACUCAUAAUUACCACCAUCAUGAGAUUACGGUUGUUAGUUAUAAGUUCUUGUUUUUGAUUUUUCAGGCUGCUGUUUAUGGAGUUGGUGUUUGUGCUGAAUUUGGUUCUUCUGUGUUUCGGCCUCUUGUCGGAGGUAGCUUAAUGUGAAUUAUGUUAUUCACAUAGAAGUUCACGUCUUUGGUGAUCCCUCAUGUUUAUUUGUGCAACGUUUUCUUCCUCUAUGUAGAGGCCUUGUCGAGGUUGGAUAAUGUGAUUAGACAUCCUGAUGCAUUGCACCCAGACAAUGUGAUGGCAUAUGACAAUGCAGUUUCUGCUCUUGGCAAAAUAUGUCAGUUCCAUCGUGAUGGUAUUGAUGCAGCUAAGGUAGCUUUGUGUGCUCUCUUAUUUUUGUCUUAUAUAGUUGUAUCUUAUAAUCUAUUAAAAGCUUAUAUAUUGCAUAAAAGGUAUUGGUAGUUGAUGGCAAUGGUAUUAUUAGCUAGAGAGAUCAUAGUCUCUCUCUCUCUCUCUCUCUCUUCUCAUUCUAUAACGGUGAAUUUCUUAAUCUCUAAUGUUUUCUCAUUGUAUAAUUUUUAAUCGGUCUAUCUGAAUGAGGUAUUUUUUGUAGCCAACUCUAAAUAUUUGUCCAAUUAUAUUAACAGCUCUAUGAGCUUGAACUAUUUAUACUGUUGUUGUCCUCAGAUUUUUCAUUAGUUGCAAGACAUCCUUUUGUUUGUCAAUUUCCUCCAAAUCUUUGUAUGGUUUGCAAUUGAAGUAUAAUCCAUGUCAAAGUAAUGCUACAAUGGUCAAUUGUGAUUUACUUGUUUAAUUUGAUUGCUAAAAAGUGAGUUAUCUAGGUUGGCAGGGGAAAUUAGAUAGGAUUAUUUCAAGAUGAUUUAUUUUAUCACAGGUCAUCCGAGUUAAAGCCCAUUGAUUUGAUUGAUUUUACCUUCGUUAACUCUAAAGCCUUUGAUUUAAAUCAACUUAACCCUCCUUAACUCUGAACCGGAUACAGUUUAAGAAAAGGCAAACUAUCAUUUCUUGGGUAAUUCUACAUUAUGGUUCCACAAAUUUAUUAAAAUCUUAUAUAUUUAAAUGUCAAAAUUUGUCAAAUGAUGGUGGUUUGCAUGGAUAUUCUUGGAUUCCUUGUUAAUCUUCUGUUAUUGCAUAAUUGAGAUGAUUGUGUUUCUGUUUGAGCAAAAUGAGACUUGCUGUACUAUUUUGUUUUAGUGCCCUUUGGAAGUCAUUUUGAUACUCAAAUUUUGACUUUCUGGGCUAUUUAUUGUACAUGGAAGUUAUUUGGAUCCUCAAGUGCACCCAUAAAUCAUGUUGGAUGGAUAUCUAUUCAUGAGGACUCAUCAAUCUCUCUAAAGAUCAAUUCUAUAUGUUACUGAUGAUUUGACAUUGAAAUUUUGCCUUUUUAUUUACAAAUCUUAUAAAAACAUCUAAUACUUUAAGUUCCACAACAUAAAAAAUAUUAUCUACUUAUAAUAUGUUAAAAUUUUAUUUUAUUCAUCUGUGUUUCUCCUUUUUCUUUCCAUAUUGGACACUUCCGAUGCACAUCAGAAUUUGAUAGUGUUUUCAUGCAGCUUUGCUUCUGGUGUACCAUUCUUGAAAUUCGUGUGCUUCUGUUUUCUAACUUAAUUGUUGUGUUUUAGUUCUUAUUGUAAGGUCAUUUUGUCGGUCAACUUUCUAUUUGCACUGGAUAUCAUUCUGCUCCUAUUUUUUUUGUUAUUGUACUUAUCUUUAAUUUAGUAUGUCAAAGGAAAUUGUCAGAUUAUUCCUGAGGCUGCAAUCAGGUGUAUUAGAAUGUUAUUUUGCACUGGAUAUCAUUGUACACUGCCUGUAUGUACUUUAUGUACUUUUCUCAUUGCCACACUUGUUGGACUUUCAUGAAUGCAAUGCAAACUGACGACAUUUCUCGAUGUUAAUACUGCUAUAUAUUUGGAUUUGAUAGGUUUUUCCUGCUUGGUUAAGCUGCUUACCGAUUAAAAAUGAUUUAAUUGAGGCCAAAAUUGUUCAUGAACAGCUUUGCUCAAUGCUUGAAAGGUAACUCCCUGAUUUGUGUGACUGGAAAUUAGAAUAUUUGAUCCAUCAUAGCUUCUAAUUCAUUUUUUGGUUUGGUAUUACACUGAAUAUUAACCACGAAUUCUCUCCACAGAUCGGAUAGGGAGCUCUUAGGACCAAACAACCAGAAUAUUCCUAAAAUAGUUUCUGUAUUUGCCGAGGUGAGCUAUUAGUUUCCCCCCUUUCAUUUCUGUGGUAAAGUGAUUUAUAUUCUCCCACUAGUUCUAAAAUAUAAUUGUGAAGCGAUUGUUAUCAAUGGCAUUAUGAAGCUCAACCUAGUAUGCUUUUAUCAUGACAGAAACUUUAUUGAUAGUCAAAUUUUAUCCUGUCUUCCGUCUAGUAGCAGUACGGGGUUUUGCACAGUGUUUUUAGCAUCACAGAACCUUUGAUGAUACAAAAAUUUUAACCCAUUUUCAUGUUGGGUAGUGGUAUGAAGUUUUUCUGCUGUGCUUGUAGCAUGAUUGAGCCUUCGUUGGUACUCCAAAAAUCUUUUGAUCUUUGUCGAAGUUGCAGUGUUUACCAGGAUGAUUUUACAUGAUACCUAGGACGUUAACCCUUAUCUGAAAUAGAUUUAUUUUAGCUAGGAGAGAAAUGCAUACUCUUUUUGUAAAAUUUAAUGAUUUUACAUGUCCUUGGCUACUUGCUGUCGGCUGUUGCACUUGAAAACCUUCCUAGCCCUAUCAAUAGUAACAAAAUGUCAGAUUGGUUUUUCGGCAAUAGCUAUUUUGCCAUGUAGUCUUUUGGAUACCGUCUGAUGGUUGUACUACUUUUAGUGGCAAUUUGAUGUUUGUUUGAUUGUCACCUGAGAUAGUGAAUUCUUUUGUUUUUUCGUCUAGGUUUUGUGUGCAGGAAAUGAUCUGGCCACAGAACAAACUGUUAGCCGGAUGAUCAGUCUCUUGAGGCAGAUUCAACAGACAUUGCCACCGUCUGUCCUCGCCUCAACCUGGUCUACGUUGCAGCCUCAGCAGCAACUCGCGCUGCAGUCUAUACUAUCUUCGUAACCCUUCCGGUGUCGCCAUGGGGAAACUGUUCUUUCUUAUGGUUUGUGUGCCUUCCUACUUUACAUCAUUAUUGCUUUUGCUUUUCAUUCUUUAUGUCUAUUCAUCAAGUUGAAUCAAGUGUGAGGGCAUUGUUCGAUCGAGUUUUAUUUAAGUUUCAAGAGAAUUUUGCAAUUUUGGUGGGGUGAUGUAUAAAAUCAACAGCUGGAAUACAUGUUUGUCAUCUGAGGUGUACAUUGUGAAGGGUGAAGAAAGAUUCUCUUCUGUUGAAUCUUACCGGUUAUAGUGGAAGGAUUGGUCAAAACGGUCUGCUGCAGUUAUAAUGAUUGUAAUGUUCAUGGAGUAAUUGAUUUCUGGUCAAGUGUCAUGAUGCCAGUCUUUUGGGUGAUGGUUAGUGUGAUCCCUGUAAUGUUCUCUCAUCGCAGUCUCUUGGAAUUAUUCUCACCAUUGAUGAGUAGCUCUACUCUAGUGCUUGCGUUUCCUUGACUUGUUGAUCCCUUUGGUCUCUGCCCUAAUAUUGCAGAUGUGUUAGGAUUUCUGUUCUAUCAUGCGCAUGAAAUUGAAAGAAUAAUAAAUAAUUACUACAUUAAAAGUUUCAUCAAAAAGAUAUAAAAGGCAUCACAAGUCUCAAAUAACAAAAAUAAAAAAUGGUGAAAUUGCUUUUAUUAUCUCAAGUUCACAAUGCUAUUGUCUGUAAAAACUUAAAUCCUUGGAUGAGAUAUGAGUUUUCUUUUUGUAUAAUAAUUUUAAUAUUAUACAAUUUGUAUUUUAUUAUCAAAUAAUAUUGCCUUUGACUUCUGGAAGAAUCCAUCUCGGCUUAGGUCAUCUCGGCUAGAACCGGCCUGUUAAGCCGGCCUUUUUGACUCGCGGCCCAGAGUCUGAAGCCCUCGGUCGAUGGCCCCUAUAAAUAAAACCUGACUAGGGUUGUUCUUGUUCUGCUUUCUCCCGCGGCCGCCUUCGCUUACCCAUCGCCCCCUACGCGAGAGAGAUCGUAGGUGCGUGCGAUUACUUCCGAGUCCCCAGUUCUUUUUUCGCUUGUUAUCGAUUUAUCAGUGGAUGUUGUGAUGUCCUGGUAGUUUGUAAUAUGUCAUCCAGCAAUACUGAUUGUCGGUUCUCUCAGUCUUCUAUCGAAUUUUUUCGAUUUGUGGAGGACUUGUACGCCAAUUAAUUUCUUGUAGCGCAUGAUUUGCAUGUUUAGUUGGUUACGAUGAUCUGAGUCUUAAAUAAGCUUCGAGUAAAGUGAGUUGUUUGUUUCUUGAUAUGAUUUGCAUCUUUAGUUGUUUACUUCUUUGAUGUUGUGGUCUAAUGGGCAGUUGUGCUGUUGUUUGAUAUAUACAUGAAUUUAAAUCUCGAUCUCGUACUGGUUGACUAGUUAGAAUCAUUGGCUUGAUGUGCUUCAUGCUUAAGUUAAUCGAAGUGUCUGUAAUUUUUCCCAUGUAAGAAGAGGUUGACCACUUGACAGUCUGUUUCAAGCACCUUAAAAAGAGAGCACACAGCUAUUUGUCUUAAUUUGGUUUUGGCUUAAACAGGAUUAAGCUGGUGGUUAUUGGUUUGAUUACUCAAAGGGCUAAUUUUACCUAAUUAGAAUAGUUAACCUGGAUAAUUACUUGUCCUGGAGAGCGGGUUAGAGUAGCUCACUCUCGUUUUCUUUGUUGAUCUAAUAAUUGAGUUAGCUAGCUAGCUAAGUGACCAAACUAAAGAAAAGUUGAGGCUAGUUAACCGAGUUACGUGUUCUUUACAAAUGAUUAAUUAAAACUUGUUUUCUUUGAUCGAUCAGAACUCAAGCCCUUAACAGUCCGAUGCACUCUAAGUGGACAUAACUAUGAUGCCUUGUUUAAUUUUGCUCUGCCUCCACCGUAAGCCAACCACACCCUCAUCAUAGGUUAUGUAUUCUACUGAGUUAAUUUUCAUCACGUAAACUAGUGGGUUUUAAUUUAUUUCAUUCAGUACAGAUUUCACUACUUAAUCAAAAUAUAUCAUAGAGGUCAUCGUAUAUACACUGUCAGAACAACUAGCACAAGGAUGGUGUUCUGCAAGUUGCCAUGUAAUAUGAUAACUUACAUCACUUUCCAUUUAUGGCAAUGAGAAACUUGGUUGACACACUGCACUUCAAAUGGUGGCACACUCUUCAUGCUUCUUUUCUUGUAAUUUCGUUUUCAUUGUCGUGCCAUUAUUUGGUUCUUUGUUUUCUUUGGAAGUGGGAAUUAUGAUGAGCAGUCUUAUCUGAUUGCACUGCAUACCGAUAUGAACAGCAUGGAUACUCAAGCUAAGCUUGCAGUUGUGGUGAAGGUGAUGGGCCGCACUGGAUCUAGAGGUCAGGUUACCCAGGUUAGGGUUAAGUUUUUGGAUGACCAAAACCGGCUGAUCAUGAGGAACGUAAAGGGCCCCGUGAGGGAAGGUGAUAUCCUUACCCUUCUUGAAUCUGAAAGGGAGGCUAGGAGAUUGCGCUGAUAAUAGUAAUUAUUAUUAUGAUACUCUAUGGUCUUUCUUGCCUACUUCAGUAGUCUAUUUCUAUUUGUCUACAAACCUGUAUUAUCGGCUCAGUGGGUUUUGUUCAUUUUUUUUGUCGCAUGGAUUGUGUUGAAAAAUUGAGAAACUGCUCUAUGUUCUGUUUUGGUAUGAACCCAUAAUAUUUUAAUUCGCUGUGGUGUUUGUGUCUGGUCUUAAUUAAUUGCAUGUACUCCAUCAAAAAUGUUUUCUCUUGGAAUGAGCCGUGGAUUGAGCAUGGAUGUCAAUUUGUUCCUCUCAGAUGAACAUUUCAGCUCCUAUGUUUUCUUUGAAUUACCUAAUGCUUCUGAAAUUGCACCAACACCUUGAGCAUGAACGUGAUGUGUAUAUAUUAUCCAGAUUGAUUCUUGCAACACUAGAAACUCCAAAUUUAAAAUAUAAUAUAGCCUCUCAAAAUAAUUGCAUUUGUUCCUCAUUUUUACUGACUGGCAUAGCUGGAUUAAAUCUACUAUUAUGGCUGUUAAAGUUGAAAUAUUGUUGCAGAUAAUGGUUUUAGUAAGAUCUCUGCUUUAAUUGGUAAUGAUUUGUUGAUGAUUUUGCCAAAUGCACUAAUAGCUAGUGAAAUAUAUGGAUUUUGUUUAGGAGGGGCUAUGUGGGAAAAAAAAAUCAUCUGAACCACAACAUUUGUAUCAUGCAAUCACAUGGUAAAAAUCCAGACAUUCAAAAUUGCAUUUGCUUGUAACUUCACCUGCAUUUAUUUAUUGUUUAAAGAAUAUAUAGAGCCAAACACUACAUGUAUAAAUUCAUGUAUACAAAGAAUAUACAUGAAAAACUAAAACAAAACUGAUCACAAAAACCAAAGCAUUUCAAAGAUUCAUCAUCAUCAGUGCCAUACCUGAGACAUCAUCUCCACACACUCACUGCAACCUUCAAAUGUUCCAUCUAGUUUAUUUGAUCUGAUGAUUGUCACCUCUUUUCUUCUUAUUGUUCUUAUUGUAAUGAUAGGUUGAUUUAGUACCAUGUCCACCUGGAAUGCAUUAUUGGCUUUAGGUAACAUGUUUUACCAUGAGAAAUUUGGGGACUGCUGCCUUGAACUCUUCCAUUUUCGAUUCACUGCCAUAGCAUUUUCUUCAUAUCUGAGACUUUAUAUCCUAUGGCAUUUCCAUCGUAUCUGGGACUUUAUAUCCCUACUUGUCCAUUGAGACUUUUACAUGAUUUCAUGUGUGAAUGCAAUUUCUGCGGCUUAAAUGUCUUCCCACAUUGCCUGCUCGACAAAUUUGCAACCAAUUAAACCAAUCAUUAGUGAAAUGGAUUCGAGCAUAAAGUAAUUAAUUGCAUUUGCACUUCCAUCGAACCAUGAGCAAGUGGUGAUUUAUAGUAACCGGAUAUUAUGAAAUCUCUAUGGGCUGAUUAUAAAUUACCUUCCAAAUAUAAACGUUCUCAGUAUUCUGGUCCCAGAUUUAAAAAGAUUUAAAAAAAUUUACAAUAGAAUUUCUAUAGUUAUGAAAAUGAAGUUUACUCUAACAUUGUUAGUUUAACCGAUAAAAAUAUAAAAAUAAUAGAUAAAAAAGAUAAUUUCUAAUAUUUCAGUUGAUGAUAGCGGUUGAUGUUGGAGGUUAUAGAUGGUUGUUGUGGAUUAGGAGAAUGAGGACGAGAGAUGAGAGUCGUUCUACGUCGGUGUCGAUGUAGUUGUUGAGCGACAAAAGGAUCGCUCGAUAUCGACAGUCCUUUCGUCACUCAUUGCAUUGACGUCGACGCAAUUGUAGAGCGAUGUCGCUCUGCAUAUAUACAUCGACAUCGAUGCAAAUGCUGAGUAGUCCUUUCAUCGCUCAACAACUACGUUGACGCAGUGAGCGAUCUUUUUGUCACUCUGCAUCGACGUCGACAUAGUUGCCAAGCAGCGAUUUGCAUUGGCGUCAAUGCAAUUGCUGAGUGACGUCGCUUUGCAUUUGCAUCGGUGUUGAUGUAGUGACCGACCCUUUUGCCACUCGACAAUUGCAUCAACGCAAACGCAGUGAGCGUCCUUUUCGUCGCUUUGCAUUUACGUCAACGUAGUUGUCGAGUGAUGAAAGGGUUGCUCGGCAUCUACAUCGGUGAUCCUUUUGUCGCUCGACAACCGCGUCGAUGCAGAUGUAAAGAGGCGAAAGGAUCACUCAGCAAUUGUAUCGACGUUGACAUAAAUGCAAAGUGGCUCUCAUCUCUCAUCGUUGCUCUCCUCAUCCUCAACAGUCACUUGCGACCUCUAGCAAUGUCGUCAUUCAUCACCACUGACGUCGUCCGUCACAACCAAUGAGAAUAUUAAAAUUAUUUUUAUUUAUUUAUUUAUUAUAUUUUUAUCUAUAAAACCUAUGAUAUUAGGGUAAAUGGACUUAGAUGUUUUACUUUUAUAAUUAUAACAAUUCUAAUAUAAAUUUUUUAAGUCUAAUGAUCGAAAUACUAAAAAAGUUAGGGGUAAUAUUUAAUUAGCCUAAUAUGUAUCCAACUUUGGGACGUCCUAUUUAAUGGCAUAAUUUUGACUGCUAUUUCAGAUAUCAAUCACUAUUGCAGCAAUACCUAUGAAUAAAGAGUGAAUAAAACUUGGAUUCGUGUCUUCACGUAGUCGGACUGUGACCCGUGUGUUUCUCAACCAACUACGACUCGAUCCGAGUCACACGAGCCACGAAUUAAGAGACGAAGAGUGUGACUUACGAGCAAGUGGGUGUCGCCGCCGGCGUGUUAACCGGGGCGGCUUCCUGCUUCCCCGCCUUCCGCCACCUCCUCCCCCCGCCGCUCCUCGUCCUCCCUUCCCUGCCAAUUCCAACUCUUCAGCACACAGCAGCAAGGCCUGUAAAUGCAAAGCAGAUGACUCCUAAUGGCACCGACGCGAUCACCUUGAACCCUCACUGUCACCGCCGCGGCCACCGCCGGACCGCUCCUCUCCCUCUCGGCUUAUCGGCCGCAGGGCCCCGUCGUCGGUCUGAUCCGCGGUCUUGCACCGGAGGAUGUUACGUAGCGCCUGCGUCGCUCGCUUCGAGCAGUUGUUGCUGUCGCUGCUGCUGUCCAUUAUCGAUGCCCCUCUCUCCUCCUCCUUCUCCUCGUUCGGCUUCUCCUUCGCCUCCACCUUCGACGCGUCGAUCUCGGGUGCCGCUUUCUGCUGUGUUGGCGAUGGCGGCAACACCAGUAGAGUGUCGGCGUCAGAUGAGGCCGCCACUUUGGGUGGUUCCUCAUCGACCGCCGACGUCGACGCCGGCAUCAUCACCUGGUCAUCGGUGAAAGCAAACGAUGCACAUGAAGUCAGAGGAGAUGAGUGGGUAACAGAAGGUGGGGUUCUGUGCUGCACCUGUUUGCUGGGGGUGGAGACGGGAGGAUCCGUGGCGAGCUCGGAUCCUUUGAGCACGUAUUCGGCGUCGGCGAAGGGCGUGAUGGGGUCGUCGUCCAUCAGGUCCUGCCAUAUGUAUCCGCCUCGAUACCGUCUGAGAAAUCACACCCAUGUAAUCAUGGCACGAAUAGCAACGAACGAAGAGGAUGAGACGAUGGAGUAGAUCACCUUUUGUAGGACCAGGCGAAGGAGUCGGCCAUGUCCUUCCCUCUGAACUCCGACAGCCAUCUCUUCACAUCUGGCAGAUCGAGCACGCGCAGGAAAUAGUUGGGAAACAGCCGAAGAGAUACGAGGAGAUAGAUCAAAGAGGCGCAAGCAAAGGGGAAGCACAGUACCGCGAAGGUAAACGUGGUCUCGACGACGGCGAUGGAUGCGGAGGAGGUGCGGGUGUUCCACCCGGCCAUUCCGGCUGAGGAAGUACACCACGUUCACUCUCCUCAUCUCUCCUCCUCCUGCUGCAUUGGGUACCUCCACGGGCGUCAUGGCGCAUGCAAGUAAGUAUCAGGGAUUGCUGCAUCAACCACCUAUUCAACUCAGUCGAGGCUUCCAUCGUCACCGAGCAUACGUGAGUUUUAUAUAAGAAGGAUUGCAGGACUGGCAAUAGGAAUAUUUUAAGGUUUAAUCGUCGUUAAUACUCGUGGAAAAGUAAAUAAGAAUAGUUAUUGCUAUUACCAUAAAACAAUUCCUUCGCCCAAACAAAAAAUAGUAUGCAUUAACCCCCCACAUUAUUACGGAUCCCUUCGUCGUGGUGUUGAUAUAUACGUAAGAAUGGAACUCUGGCAGAUGCAUAAGGGUUUGGUAUAUAGUUGCCAACAUGACACACAAUCUCCAGAAAUAGAUGCAUAUUAUUUACUCUUUCCUAUCCAUCAGAAUAUAUGUUUGCAAGCUGUUUUUGGUCAGAAAUGUAGACAUCUAACUCAUUAGUGUGAUGCGGAAGACAACUCAUGACUGGUCAGCUUAUAAAAGGUCUUACCACAUAAUAUAUAUAUCCCUAUAAGAAACACACAACAUUAUUUAAUUAAUGAUUUCAGAUAUUGGUGAAUGGAGUGAAAGUAAGUAAUAAUAAUACCAACAACAACAAUACAAUACAAUAAUGCAAUAAUGAAAUAGCUGCAAAAUGAGGUCAACUUAGAAUGCUGUCAGAAUAUAGUUGAAAAGGAAAUAGAGGCGAUGAGCACAUCGGUGUUGGGUGUGUUUGUUAGCUCUCAAGGCAACGAAAGGCUAAGUUUACUGCCAAAACGAACCACAACCACAGCACGAAAGGAAAAGCCAACACAGAUGCCAAGUUUACAUGAUCUUAUUUGCGGGCUAAUUAUAGAUCAUCCUUUAGGGUUAGUCCUUCUUCACAUCUUAAUAUUUAUACUUUAAAAAUUUAUAUCGAAAUUGUUAUAGUUAUGAAAAUAAAAUAUCUAUAUUCAUUUACCAUAACAUCGUUGGUUUUAUAGAUGAAAAUAUAAAGAUAAAAGAUGAAAAGAUAAUUUCAAUAUUUCAAUUGAUGAUAGUGAACAACGUCGGUGAUAACAAAUGACGACAUCACUAGGGGCUGCGGAUGAUUACUAUGGUGACGAGAGAUGAGGACCACUCUAUAUUUGCAUUGAUGAUCUUUUCGUUGCUCGGUAAUUGCGUCGACAUCAACACAGUGAGUAGCUCUUUUAUUGAUCUACAUCUAUAUCGACAUCGAUACAGUUGUCAAGUGACAUCAUUGUGUAUCUGUAUUAGUAUUAAUACAGUUGCUGAGCGACCCUCAUCCAUCACCAUUGUUCUUCUCAUCCAUAGCAGUCACCCGCGGCCCCUAAUAAUGUUGCAAUCCACCACCACUGACAUUGUCUGUCACUACCGAUUAGAACAUUAAAAUUAUUUUUUUAUCUAUUAUUUUUAUAUUUUCAUCGAUAAAAUCGACAACGAUAGAAUAAAUAGAUAUAGAUAUUUUAUUUUCAUAAUUAUAGAUAUUUCAAUAUAAAUAUUUUAAAUCUAAAAAUAAAAAAAAACUAAAGAGAUCUAACUACGAAGGAUAAUAUAUAAUUAACCCUGUUAUUUGUUAUGUGAUUACCGGAGGGUAGAAAGUGAACAUCAAUAUUUUUUCUAUUCCGAAGAUUUCAUUAUGAAAAGUUAUCAAAGAUUGUCACUAAAUAACUAUCAAGAUUUGACUUCCAAGAAUUUGUUGCCUCUUAUGAAGGCUUUGCGUGAUGGCCAACUCUGAAUGUCAACCUUUCAGUGUUGUCUUUUUAUAUAGAUUGGAGUACAAGACUUGGCAAUUGUACAAUACACCAAUCCAUCAAAUACCUUUUCAUAAGAAACUUGGGGUGAAAAAGGAGAAAUAGAACAAAAUAAAACAUUCAGCUUCCAAGAGAACGACGGGAGCUCAGCUUCUUGAGUCCUUAGAUUAGGGAAGCUGAUGGGAAGCAGUCAACGCAAAUAUGACUUCCAAAGCCAGCCUUAACUCAGGACAAGAGAAUUGUUGCAUGAGGUGUUGACCUCACUUUCAUCUUUGGCAUUGCACAAAGGACAAGAACAAGCAUUCGAUGUUUGGUAGUGCCUCUUUCCUUGAAUGGCUCGAGGAUGGGUUUAUAGAUGAAAGAAGGGGAGGAAGUAUUUAACCAUUAAAUACUUUAUGUUGAGUGUAAAUUGUGUUAAGUUUAAAUCAAUAGUAAUAAACUCAUGUAAUUUUUUUUAAGAUAUUAAAUUAGAGUGUAACAAUGGCAUAUUGCAUGCGAAGCUAAGUCGAUAGGACUUUCACAUUAUCAUAUGUAUUCAAUCACAUCCAUCAUAUCUCUUUUCUAUUUGAAUCCUUAUGUUAUGUUUAAUGUAAUGUUUGUAUCAUUUGUUAUGAUACGAUCUAAUAGAAUAAUUAAAUCAUUAUCUUAAUAAACCUAAACCAUCGAUCAAGGCAUUUAAGCUCAAAAUAAUAGUAUCAGAUCGCCCUAUCGCUAUAAACUAAUUCAAAUGUUCAUUCAAAUAUUACUUAUCAAUUCAACAUCUAAUUCGACACUUGUAUCCUAUGGAUGAGACAGGUAGCUAAUUAUCGUAUCAUGUCAUAUUGUGGUAAAUGAUAUGUGAUCAAAUUUAUUAUUAUAUAUUAUAUCUAAUUUUCUCGGCUUAUUAAUAGAUGUAAUGCUACAUAUUUUUAUUUACAAUAAGUAUUAUCUUAUAAAUAACACACGAAUAAAACUUGUAGAUGCGAUUAUUAGACCACAAUAAAAAAGAUAAAACUUUUACUUACGAUUACGAAAACUAUAGUAUUAUAUGAACUUUUAUCUUCUAUAUUUAGACCUUAUUAAUAUUAUUGUUCAUGUAUUUAAAAAAUUUAUAUUAGGAUCCUUAUAGUUCUAGAAAUAAAAUAGAUAAUCUUAUUUUUUCUAACGUCAUGAAAGAGAUAGCAUGUGAUAUCACAUGCUCGACUAAUGCGAAAUUGAUAAGUAAAAAAUAAUAAUUUUAAUAUAUUUUUAUUUUUUUGUUUUGCCUAAAUUAAAAUAUAAUUUUAACAUAGCAAUAACUACUUGUAGACCCUGCCAUCUUUAUCUCUACCCAUACUAGUCUAUUAUGUUCUUUGUUCCGACAAUCACAAAAGAGAUUUAUUUAUCUUUAUAGGAUUUUGGCAUAAAAUAUGAUUUUGUGUAAUAACAUUACUCAAAAUGUUGUCUCCUCUUAAAAGCAAUCAUACUAAAACCACACAAAUAAUACUCACAUAAAUGAAAUAUAAUAAUUUGUCAUAUAACCUAUCACGAUAGGACAUUUUCAAAUAACCAUCAUAAUUAAGCAUAUAAGUUAUAGCUAUUGAUCGGACAGGAAGCAAUAGCAUACUCUUGUCCCGAUGGCGAUAGCAGCGAUCAUUACAUGGCGAAUGAAGUUACGACUAAAGCUCAAGAAAGUGUUGGAAUUAGAGGCGAGGGCAAAAAUGAAAAGAGUCAUGACAUAAGAAGCAUUGGGGAGGAAGGGGAGCCGAGCGACGAAGGUCGAUGCAAACGGUGAUAUAGAGAUAUUGAAAUAUCUUCUUUUUUUUUUCAUCUAAUUUGUACUAAUGCAAUAUAUAAUAUCACGUAUUAUAUCUUUUAAUAGUGUAACUGAUGAUGAUGUUAGGAAAAAUAAAAUUAUUUAUUUCGGUUUUAAAUUUAUGAAAAAUACUAAUAUCAAUUUUAUAAAUGAGAUUAUGGCACAUCAUCACUUAUGGGGCUAAACAGAGUCUACCAACAAAGAUUAUCACUAUAUAAGGAGGACAUUUUGCGAUUGACGACAUGCGAUCAUCGUAAGUACGUCCUCAUUGUUGUCAUGUAUGAUUCCAUCUUUACGCAGGUGCAUGAUGAGAAUGAAGUCAUGGCUAGUAAUGAUAGAUGGAUCAAGAACAGUGCUGCAACCACAUAAGCCUCUUCCCUCGCUCCUCCUCCAAUGCUUCCAUCGCACUCUUUGGCAUGAAGCCAAAGGAGGCCGGUAGGAGCACAGCCGCUGAUCUCUCAGUCUUAACCAUGCAAGUUGACGUUCCACCCUUCCCUCAACUUACCUUCUUCUCUCUCUCUCUCUCUCUCUCGCUCUCGCCAACCAUGGCGACGCGUUCCGAUCCGAGCAAGCAACGCCGCAUCGAUCCGAGCAUGUCCAGGAGAACAAGGAAGGCCAUCGAGGUCUUUCAGGAAGAGCCGCAGCCGGAGGAAGCCACUGAUGGCUUUCGACGCAUGUCUUUGCAGGAACUGAUGUCACAAGGUGCAGGCCGAGGCAUUAAUGGUGCUGCUGCUGUUCGUAAGCUCAUGACGAAUGCAUCAAGAGAUCAGGAGGAUGCAGCGGCCGCAACAAGUAACGAUGAGUGGGAGAAGACCCUCCCCAUCGUUCCAAAGCAAGGAGGAGUAAGAGCUCAUGGGAUUCUGAACAGGUACGUGAAGGUUCUCAACAAUCUGAUCAAGGCGAGAUCCAACUCCAAGGAGAAAGCAAGGUCUCAGUGAGGCUUUUGAAAUAUAUAUAUGUGCAAUAACAAUGUAUAUAUGUGGCUCAUUUCUAUGUGCUUGUAGACCUAUAUAUAUAUAUAUAUAUAUAUAUAUGUGCAAUAACAAUGUAUAUAUGUGGCUCAUUUCUAUGUGCUUGUAGACCAAGUCAUCCGCCAUCCAUUGUCCGAAUCCACCUCCACCACCAUUACAUCUUCAUCCACUAUUUAAGGGCUCCUCUCUUCUCUUGUCAUUCUCUCAUCUUCUUCUUCUACCUCCCUCCCUCUCCACCGUGGCAAGCGGUCUCCGUGCGCUUUGCAUCUUCUCGGCCUUCCUCAGCCUCAUCGGCUGCUGCAUCUCCACCGCCAACGUCGUCGUGGAAGGCCGCGCCGCGUGUACUGCGACACUUGCCGUGCUGGCUUCGAGACCAACGCCACCGAGUACAUCGAGGGUGCCAAUUAGGUGAGGUUAGAAUGCAGGAAUUACACCACCGGCGAGGUCGUCCACACGGAGGAGGCGGUGACGGACAAGGCCGGCACGUACCAGGUCGCCGUCCUCGACGACCACCAAGAAGAUACCUGCGAGAUGAUUCUGGUGAACGGCCCCCGGGCCGACUUCUCCGAGAUCACUACGCCUCUGUCGUCGCCACUAACAGCGUCGGGAUCGCCAGCAACGUGCGCCAAGGACAAGCCGCUCGCCUCCUGUGGCCAGUUGCUCAUGCAGAACGCGCUCUGGGCGUUGACGAGUGAGAGAGGCGUCGACUACGAAGCACUAACCACUAAGUAUAUAUAUGAAUCAUUUAGCAGUCCUUUUUUCCUCUUUUUGGUUGGUAAUUCUCAGCUAAUUUUGAUCCCAGAAAAAAGAACUUACUGUCUCGAUCUCAUCGGUCAUAAUGAAUUGAUCUUUUGUGCAUGUAAUAGACAGACCCAUAUAAUCUGCGCCUUUUUUUGGUUGGUGCCGCACCUAACUGACUUCUCAUUGGAGACGGACGCGGGGCCCAUGGUGGGUCCCACGGAAGCGUAACGAGGACAGGUCUUAAGCCAGGCUUCAGCGUACGCACUUCUCGUCGAGUAAUCUUCGCGAUUCCAAUGUACGGACAACAGCCGCGGGGGAGCGAAUCGCGGGAUCCUCUCCUGGUGUUUCGCUGAACCUUGCACGAUCGGACCGCUCAUGUCGA
rnacentral:lncRNA from 1 species